GGCGGUCCUGAAGAAGACACAGAGGCACACAGCCAUCAGAUAGGUGUCCCUGAACACUCUUUUGACUGUUUAUCACGGGACACCUUGCUGUGGCCAGCAUUCAUUGUGACUUUUGGUGGAGCAGCUGUUGUGUUGUUGGCUUCCAUUGAAUUGAAGGUGUGCUGCCUAUGGGUGGACAAUAUGAUUUCUGCCUCCCUUACCUCUGCCAUUGAGCAUACAGGCUCUUCCUGAUCUUCACAUAAGUAAUACUUGAAUACUUGGUUUGGACCUGCAAGAAUUUGACUGAUUUUGGAGAAAACUUCAUUCUUCUACUGCUUGAGGGUAUGCUAUUAGAAAGUGCUCACUCAAAAAC